UGCAUGGUGGCACAGUUGGUAGCAAUGUUGCCUUGUAGCAUGAAGGACCUGGGUUUGAAUCCCAGCCAGGGGUCCUUCUGCAU